rnacentral:lncRNA from 1 species
CAUAGGCCAGCCCUCCUCAAGUUCCAGUAUUAUUUUUCCUUUCUUUGUUUUAUCCUCCAGCACCAGCCUUGACUGCGGUAACAGAAGAAGAAUCGUUUUGCUGGAGGAUACGAAAUCAAGGAGGAACACUGUGCGUGCUCAAGUACGUGCCUGAAAGAUGAACAGGAAGGGAGAGGAAAACGUAUGUUUGACUGCAGGAUAAUUGUAUCAGCACACUACAGUCCAGGACAUGGUUCAGCCCAGGAGACUGCAAUCCUGAAGUGGUGGGAACCUACCCGUUUUCAAGCUGCAGCUUUGAGCCUACUCUGUGCAAAGUGUCAGGAAAGACUUUUGUCCUCAAAGCUGAAGAAACGUUUCCCACCAGUGUGGAUGAAGGUGUCUCUUCCCCCGAAGGGCAUAGACGAGUAG